GAUGAACGCUGGCGGCGUGCCUAAUACAUGCAAGUCGAGCGAACAGAUGAGGAGCUUGCUCCUCUGACGUUAGCGGCGGACGGGUGAGUAACACGUAGAUAACCUACCUAUAAGACUGGGAUAACUUCGGGAAACCGGAGCUAAUACCGGAUAAUAUAUUGAACCGUAUGGUUCAAUAGUGAAAGACGGUUUUGCUGUCACUUAUAGAUGGAUCCGCGCCGCAUUAGCUAGUUGGUAAGGUAACGGCUUACCAAGGCAACGAUGCGUAGCCGACCUGAGAGGGUGAUCGGCCACACUGGAACUGAGACACGGUCCAGACUCCUACGGGAGGCAGCAGUAGGGAAUCUUCCGCAAUGGGCGAAAGCCUGACGGAGCAACGCCGCGUGAGUGAUGAAGGUCUUCGGAUCGUAAAACUCUGUUAUUAGGGAAGAACAAAUGUGUAAGUAACUAUGCACGUCUUGACGGUACCUAAUCAGAAAGCCACGGCUAACUACGUG
rnacentral:rRNA from 1 species